AUGCAGAAAAUACUGUUGUUUGGAUCUAUUGCACAACGCAAAAAAGGUAAAAUCAGUGUAAGCUUUUUAAAGGUCCCAUUUUUUCCUAAAAAAAGUUUGACUGUUGUUUCACAUGACAAAUCUACCCUCAAAUGCAUCAACAUUCCUACGUGGAACAAAUGCAUUGGCAUAUCAUGUGCAUGGGAAGACGUGUGGUACUAUGGCAGUUUGUUUUAUUUGUUUCUUUCUAUGUUGGUACAGGUAACUUCAGCACAUAUAUCACAAUGGAUGGCAAGUAUAUGUAUAAAUUUAGAUUUUGUCCAAUCUGUUGUACAUUGCAUUGCUAUUUCUCCAGUCGGUGUAAUUUUCUAA
rnacentral:rRNA from 1 species